GCCCCGUAAUCGGAAUGAGUACACUUUAAAUCCUUUAACAAGGAUCCAUUGGAGGGCAAGUCUGGUGCCAGCAGCCGCGGUAAUUCCAGCUCCAAUAGCGUAUAUUAAAGUUGUUGCGGUUAAAAAGCUCGUAGUUGGUUCUGCGUGCCGCGCUGUCGGUUCGCCGCCUGUCGGUGUAACUGGCAUGUCGCGGCAUGUCCUGUCGGUGGUGAACGGAGUCCACAAUGCUACAUAGGCUUCAUUGCCGAUGUUAGCAUCGUGUGUACUUCCGUUGGCCGAUCUCUCCUACUUCGGUGCUCUUAAACGAGUGUCGAGGUAGGCCGACACGUUCACUUUGAACAAAUUAGAGUGCUUAAAGCAGGCUGAAAUAUCUGCCUGAAUAGUGGUGCAUGGAAUGAUAAAACAGGACCUCGGUUCUAUUUUGUUGGUUUUAGGAAUAUGAGGUAAUGAUCAAUGUGGACUGGCGGGGGCAUUCGUAUUGCGACGUUAGAGGUGAAAUUCUUGGAUCGUCGCAAGACGCACUAGAGCGAAAGCAUUUGCCAAGUAUGUCUUAAUUGAUCAAGAACGAAAGUUAGAGGUUCGAAGGCGAUCAGAUACCGCCCUAGUUCUAACCAUAAACGAUGCCAGCCAGCGAUCCGCCGAUGUUCCUUUAAUGACUCGGCGGGGAGCUUCCACCCGGGAAACCAAAGCUUUUGGGUUCCGGGGGAAGUAUGGUUGCAAAGCUGAAACUUAAAGGA
rnacentral:rRNA from 1 species